rnacentral:ncRNA from 1 species
ACAUGAGCAAUGAAGAAGAAGAGUAGCAAAGUGGAAUGCUUUAGAGAGCCGGCGGGUGGUGCAAGCCGGUGCAGGAAACAUUGUGAAUGGGCUUCCGAGCUUCCGGACCGAACCAACUAGCAGUAGGCUCCGGCGAAUGUCUUAUCGUUACAUGGGACAGGCAGAUUUUCUGCUGUUAAAGUGGAUCGCAGCAUGUGUGCGGUCAAUAAAGGUGGUACCACGGCUCCCCGUCCUUUUG